CUCAUCCAUCCUAUAGAAGUAAAGGUGCAUAUUGGAUUUUGUUUUCUCAUAGCUUGUUGAGCCGUUUGUGGAGCUUAUAAAUCUCUUGGAUGUAUUUGGUCUUUCACUGUUCUGAACUGUUCGAAUUUUGUUGCAAGGUGGUUUAUGCCCAUUAACAUUGGAAUUUCCUUCCUCGUUGGUGGGGUUCUUGGAUGGAUUCUCGUAAAAGUAUUGAAACCGAUGAGUCACCUAGAGGGUCUGAUCAUUGCUGCUUGUUCAACAGGUAUUCUUAUCUAAAAGAAUAUGAUGACCCGGUUCCUUGGCAUCGUUGUUUCACAUGAAUUGAAAGACAAAUUGGUUUGUUAUUGUUUACUUAACUAAUUGCCGUCAGGAAACUUGGGAAAUCUACCCCUCAUUGUAAUCCCGGCGGUCUGUGAUGAGGGCGGUAGCCCGUUUGGAGACUGGAAUACUUGCCACUCCGCUGGACUCUCAUAUGCAUCUUUCUCGAUGGCGCUUGGUGGUUUCUACCUCUGGACUUACACUUACCAACUUAUCGGAACAUCGUCCAUGAAGUAUAAAGCGAUUCAAGCUGCCAAGGAGGCCUUGAAGGCACCUAACAUUGAUCCAAAUUCCGGUUCAGAAACACACCUUCUCAAGUAAAAAGAUGGAGAGCAACAAGCUAUUGUUAGUGUGCAGUGGACAAGGGCUAGUGAAGAUGCAGAAACACAAGCUGUGAGACUCAUUCUUUUCUUUCCCAUUCGACUUGUGGCGCAAGAAAAGUUAUAUUUUCGUUGCUCUAUUUGCAUGAGCAAUUGUAUUUCAGAUUUCACAUGGGGAUUCAGAUAAGACCAAUACAUCACUCUGGAAUAUAGUUAGAGUAACCUCUUCACCAAGUGCUGGAGGAGCUAAUGUCUCCUCCUACACUUGCUGCAAUAGUUGGAUUCAUUGUCGGGGCAAUCACAUUCUUGAAGAACCUCAUAAUCGGUGAGAACGCGCCCCUUCGUGUGAUACAGGACACUAUUCAACUAUUAGGGGAUGGGACUAUUCCUUGCAUCACACUUAUCUUAGGAGGCAACCUCACUCAAGGCAAGAUUUUCUUGACCCUCCAUUUUCUCUCAAACAGAAAUUUUGGAGUUUAUUGAUCGAUUGUUGUGUGUGAACAGGUUUACGCUCUUCGAGAAUCAGACCAUGGGCUAUCGCCGGGGUGAUUUGUGUUCGGUAUGUGAUACUUCCAGUGAUUGGCAUUGGAGUCGUGAAGGCUGCCGGUAAGCUUGGCCUUCGGGCAUCAGACCCAUUGUACCACUAUGUCUUGAUGGCUCAGUUCUCACUCCCACCAGCCAUGAAUAUUGGUAAGUGUAGCUAACUUCUUCAAAGAGAAAGGAAAAGGAAGAAAAAAAUAGAAGGUAGUCAGAUAAAAAGGUCUUGAAGUCAACUUUAUUAGUUUCAAGUCAAGAGGGCAUUUGAUUCGGUAUGUGAAGCAAUGCAGAUUUCUUGUACCUUUGUCCAAUUUUUCUGAAGUUGAAACACGUCUCAGCUAGUGACUCGCACUACUACAUAUUCAGUCGAGCAACAUAGACAGAAUCUUGAUUGUGAAAUGAGUAUUUAGAUUGAAUCUUGAUUUGGGAACAUACAGAUGGAGAGCUAAACAUAGGAGUGCAAGUGUAGUUCAACAAAGUAGAGCUAGUUCACUAGGAAUUUUCAUGCUACUGAUUUUCUCAAGAAAGCUGCUGAGAGUUUUGUGAAAUUUGCAGGGACAAUGACCCAGCUCUUUGAUGUGGGUCCAGAGGAGUGUUCAGUGCUCUUCCUCUGGACAUACUUGUUUGCAGCCAUAGCUCUCACUUUCUGGUCAACUGUGUACAUGUGGAUCUUGUCCUUAUAUUAUUUUCUCAGGCUAAUUGAGUCAGACUUGGACACAGCCAAUUUUGCCGGAACUUUGGGAAGCUGAGCUUGUAAUUCAUAUAAGAAUUAUAUAAACUUCAUAGUCAUGUACGCCAACAA